UCUGUGACAUCAUCACACAGAUGCUAUAAUUCUUCAACAACAAAUGCCCCCAAAUCAUCUGUAGAUUAUUCUGCCCAAACACCAUCAGCAACGACGCGCAGAUCAACGAAUGAGGAACCCAUCCUAUGGCAAAUCAAAUGCAGAAAAUGGUGAUGGAUAGAUCACACGCUCAGAAAACCGCAAGGUAGCAUCACGAGAAUGCCACUGGACCAAAAAUCACUUGGCCAUUUUAAAAAUUCUGCAUAAACAUUUCAAUUUCAAUUCCACAUAUCAGAACAGAUACCACGAAUUAUAGUUAGGUAUGCACAAAGGCGUACAAACAUACAAAGGAAGUUCAUUUUAUGAUGAUAAUUAAAUUGUUCUGGUGUGCAUUAACACGAAAACGAACAGAAAAACAAAUGAAACAACAAAAACAUAAUAAAGCGCGAACAUGAAUAACCAAAUCGAAUCGCUGCUACGUACGUCCUACAUCUCUCGGAGCCGCACAGCGUUUUUAAUCCGCUCUAAAUUGAACAACACUUUAAAAUCAAUAUUAAAUUAACAAAAGCAACAAGGGUUAGAGCAGAGGCGAGUAUGAAGAAAACGCGUUACAAAUAAGACGUCCAGCGAUAAAGCAGCAGUGGCAGCAUAAAGCGAUCAAUACAAAUGUAUCCAUACAUGUGUAUGUGUUGAUAUAGGAUGCCUUCCGCUGAGCGGCCAAAAACGAACGUAUUCACUCAUAGUCGAAGUCGCGCAUGAAGGCAAUGUUAUGUUUUGACCACAACUUGGUGCAGUGGUAGCGACUCAGCCGACGACAGAAGCGGCAGUGGCAGUGGCAGUGGCAGCUAUAGUAUGUCGGUGAUUUCGGCUGAAACAAGUCCGUGUUGCUUUGGUAGUAUG